ACAAGACUGACGCUCAGGUGCGAGAGCGUGGGGAGCAAACAGGAUUAGAUACCCUGGUAGUCCACGCUGUAAACGAUGUCGAUUUGGAGGUUGUUCCCUAUAGGAGUGGCUUCCGGAGCUAACGCGUUAAAUCGACCGCCUGGGGAGUACGGCCGCAAGGUUAAAACUCAAAUGAAUUGACGGGGGCCCGCACAAGCGGUGGAGCAUGUGGUUUAAUUCGAUGCAACGCUAAGAACCUUACCUACUCUUGACAUCCAGAGAAUUUAACAGAGAUGCUUAAGUGCCUUCGGGAACUCUGAGACAGGUGCUGCAUGGCUGUCGUCAGCUCGUGUUGUGAAAUGUUGGGUUAAGUCCCGCAACGAGCGCAACCCUUAUCCUUUGUUGCCAGCGAUUCUGUCGGGAACUCAAAGGAGACUGCCGGUGAUAAACCGGAGGAAGGUGGGGAUGACGUCAAGGCAUCAUGGUCCUUACGAGUAUGGCUACACACGUGCUACAAUGGGGUAUACAAAGAGAAGCGACCUCGCGAGAGCAAGCGGAACUCAUAAAGUACGUCGUAGGCCGGAUUGGAGUCUGCAACUCUACUCCAUGAACUCUGAAUCGCUAGUAAAGA
rnacentral:rRNA from 1 species